UUAAUUAUUACUUUUGAUAACUCAGACAACAUCAUUACUAAGAUUUUUGGUUGGGCUUCGGUGGGCACUUUUAGCCCACCGAAGCAACAAUGAAAUAUUUGGUGGUAUACAAGGGGUUGGAGGUUGGGCCAUGGAAGACCCUAACUCAGUAAUGAUCCUUCCGCAGGUUCACCUACGGAAA
rnacentral:misc_RNA from 1 species